GGUGUUGUAGCACGUGCGUGGCCACAGUGAACUUCGGUUCUAAGAGCUUGAGAGGCUUUUUUUUGACAAAAUGUGAUCUUUCUGGAUUUUGAAAUUCCAGUGAUCUACAUUUGGACCCAAAACAAUGCGCCGAAACUUGUGUGAACCCUACAAGGUUCAAAAAAAUCUCGCAACAUCGCACAGCCGCUACAGUUAAACUCAAAAUAAUUUAUCCUCAAACUUUCAAUUGCCACGAAGUCGAAAUACCAGUUAAGCGCCUGUUAUUUCUUGUUUUUUGAACUCCGAUCUUCACGACAGUUUGAAUACUUUGGAUUAUUCUUCCUUCCCAAAAACAUAUUCAAAUAAGACUGAAGUAUCGAGAGUUUGCGCUUACAAAAAAUCUACAAAAGUUAAAAACUGCUGAAAAUCCUCGGAAUUCUUUACUGCCACGAAGCUUUUACACGAUUCUUAAAUAUUUUCCUAACUUUACAUUUACUGAAGCAUCUCAAUUGCAAAAUAUUUUGCAUUCCUUUUUGCUUUCGAGCACGAUUCGGAUGAUUUAUCGAUAACUUCUGUGUUAAUAGGCGACAAUUAAUAUAUCCUUGCCGAAGAACGAAGCAACCAUUUAGAAAAAAUUGAGCUUCGAGUUCAACUGCCAGUAGUUUAGGUGCUUGCGAAUGAAUUGCCGGUAAUUGAUGAAAACUACAUCAAUAAAUUCUAGAGUUCAUUAACAACUCCUUAGUUAACGUUUAUAUUCCUGCACAUU
rnacentral:lncRNA from 1 species